GGGAGCUCAUGCUGUCUCUGCUUUCCCGGCUCUAAGCUCCAAGUGCUAUCACCUUCAGUUGACCAGCUGCGUCUUUGUCCCUCCCCACAUCACUUUCUGCAGCCAGGGCAGCACUCCUGGACAGGAAGCCAUGAACUUGCAAUUCCACCAUUUCUUCCAGUUGCUUUUGGAGAAUUCAGUUUCAAAGUGCGAGUUGAGGAUAACAUUCUGGCUUUCAGAAAUCAUAAAUAAUGAACGGCACAUUUGAGUCAUUAUCGGUGGUUAUCCCUCUUAGAGUCCUCUUUGGUGUGCUCCGACCUAAGGCACCCGUGGAGAAGGAGAAGGAGAUCUCAAGAGGAAAAAUCAAUGCAGGAACAAAGAAACUCUUGGGUCUAGUGAAGAGAGACUGGAUCUUGCUAGUGUUUGUGAGCCCAAUAUUUCACGGCCAUGUGACAAGGACCCAGCUCUUAGAUGAACUAAGGAGAAGAGUCAAGGAAACUUAUUUUGAACUAUUUAUGGCCAUUAAUAAUUGAGUAAGGUAUACUCCUGUGAACAAAAUUUGUAGCAUAUUUUCUGUCUCUGGCUGGCUUCUCCAGAAUUUGGAAACUAUCUGUGAGUAUUCAUAACUUAUGGAAAUAUACUUGUUUGCAUCAAUGCAGUAAGAAUUCACUUUUCUUUUGCAACAGGAUGCAAUUGGAGAAACUGGUUGUUUUAUCAAGGCUUGGACUGAAAGUGUAUGCUUCCCCUUAAAGGAGUCAAGCUCGACUUGUAGACCUGAUAAGAGCCCCUUAGGAGAAACUAGCCUCAU
rnacentral:lncRNA from 1 species